UAUAGGGUGAAAAAAAGUGAUUUACAUUUUACACUUUUACCACACUUACCGUUAAGCUGGCGGGGUAUUGAAUGCUUAUCAGAGUAAAUAUUAGUAAAAAAUUGCAUCGCGUGCAUUUCUUGAAAGGUUUACUUCGGCAAAAACGAGGGAAUUUGUGAUUACUGUUACAUUAUUUUGGGGAUCUGAAGAAGUGAAUGCUUUGCAGAGUCAACACUCUGUGAAAUCACCUGCAAACCCAAGAAGUUUCAGUAACUUAGCGAUGACAGUUAUACAUGACUCAAAGAUAAAACCUAAGUGAUCCUUGGAAUGAGGAUGCAUUGGACCACAUUGAGUGUGACAGCUUCAAGGAGGAAGAAAGGAAGAUUUAAUAUCCAGUCAACAGCGUGUUUGUUCCGGACAAAAUGUUAUCAGAAUUGAAUUUCCUAACAAAAUUAUUUCUUGUGAACACAGCUUCACAAUAAAUGAAAUUUGUGAACUGGAUUUUCUACCCUCAGUAAAAGUUGUGCUUGCAUUACUUGUAGUAAUAUAUACUUUAAUAUUUGUCAUCUAGCAAAACAAGUAAUCAUAAAAAAAAUCAGUAAUUACUCAUUGCUGCAGUGUAUGGUGGUUUCUGUCAGGUAUUAGGGCAUAUUCUUUCACUGCCAUCCUAGUUCCACUUCCUCAAUCAGCAUAUGACCAUGUGCAAGUGGUAGGUAGUGGUUGAAGAAAGGAUCAGUACACAAUAGAAGUGUAAAAAUAGACAGUACCAGAUUCAAAUAUGGUAUAACACAGGUAAAUGGCAUUUUUACUCUCUUUUUAUAAGAGGACACUGGCCACCAAUGACAAUGUUCAUGCUUUUACAAAUGUUUCAGUAGAUAUAUAGUCCACUUUUUUGUGUCUUGUUUUGAUUCUGUUCUUAAAAUAUGUACAGUAUUUAAGUGAAAAUUUAGAAAGCUGAUUCUUCAUAUUCAUAUAAUUUCCUGUUGUUUCUGUAAUUUAUUUCUUACUAGUUAGCUGGACAAUGAUUUUUUUUAUUACACUGAAUGUGCCAAAUAUAUAUUAUGCAAACAUUACUUUCCUCUUUUGUUACUCUGUCAAUGCUUUUGAUUUAACGUAUGUUGUCAUAUCUUUCCUUAGAGGAGAGAUGCAAUAGUUGUAAAGUGCACAGAAAUAAUAAAUUUUUGACUUGUGGUAUGUAAUAGUAUGUACAAUCAAAUUUUAGAAUGUUUCAUAAGGAAAUAAUGAGAAGAAUUGUUUGGAAGUUUGAAGUUUUUGAUGCAGCAUUUUAGAUCAUCACAGUUUGUAACCUCACUUAUUUAGACACUGUCAGAAUCACGGUGCCUUCAUGUGCAUAUUUCUUCUGUAAUCUUAGUAAACCCAGUUGUUGCAUUUCCAAAAGAAUUUAGAAAGCUACUGCUCAGAAUAAACCACCAAUAAAGUUCCGUAGCACAUUUGCCAAUCAAUAUAACAAGCAUUUUGUUACAUACUUCUGAUACCAAUCAGUAGUACUGAGUUCUUCAGUUUUUGGCAUGCACAGAAUGUGCUAAUCAGUUGUCUUUAUCAGUCAGAUGCAUAUCAUCCUGGUCAAUUAAAUUUAAGUUUUGAUGUCUCAGAUUGCACUGUCUAUAGCAGAAAUACUAGUCCAUUUCACACACCCCUCCCUCAUCUGUAAUUGGGCCUUCUUAUUUAGUUACAAAUUUGAUUUUUGUUUAAAAAUGAAUAUCUGUAUGAAGUAUGAGUACAGGUGCUAUGAUAGCAUUAUUGACAAUCCUGUCGCUAUGAGUUUUGUGUAUCUUGUAAUGGAUGUUUUUAAUGUUUAUGCCCAACUAAAUUAUAAUUGCAAGAGAGAAUACAGUAUUGAGGAAAUUACUUCUGUUUUGAUUUGACAUAGAGAAACAAAUUGAUUAAAGUUUUUGAACAUAAUCUCUGUUUUACUAAUUUAUGUGUGUUGAAAAAAUAGAUAAAUAAGUGCUCAAAACAUUGUUUUGAUCUU